AUUGAACGCUGGCGGCGUGCUUAACACAUGCAAGUCGAUCGGUAACAGGUGUAGCAAUACAUGCUGACGAGAGGCGGACGGGUGAGGAAUAUUUGGGAAUCUGCCCAUCAGCGGGGGACAACCCGGGGAAACUCGGGCUAAUACCGCAUACGCUCUACGGAGGAAAGCCGGGGACCGCAAGGCCUGGCACUGAUGGAUGAGCCCAAAUCGGAUUAGCUUGUUGGUGGGGUAACGGCUCACCAAGGCGACGAUCGGUAGCUGGUGUGAGAGCAUGACCAGCCACACUGGGACUGAGACACGGCCCAGACUCCUACGGGAGGCAGCAGUAGGGAAUCUUGCGCUAAUGCGGGCAACCGUGACGCAGCGACGCCGCGUGCGGGAAGAAGGCCUUCGGGUUGUAAACCGCCUUCAGGAGGGACGAAGCUACUCGGGUUAAUAGCCCAGAGGGUGACGGUACCUCCAGAAGAAGCCCCGGCUAACUACGUGCCAGCCGCCGCGGUAACAC
rnacentral:rRNA from 1 species